rnacentral:lncRNA from 1 species
AAGUGAGGUUUUGAUUUAGAAUUUAUUUAGAUUUAAUUUUUAUUUAAAAUUAAUACAAGAAUAUAAUUUUGAAUAAUAGGCAUUGAAGAAUCUCCUAGAGAUUAAUCGAUCUAUUCAUUCAGUGGUCUGUAAAAGAUAGGCAAUGAAUUAUUUUUUUGAGAUAUUUCAUAUUUAUUUUAAAGAUUAAAUAAUUAUUCUUUGAAGUUAUG